AUGGCCCACGUCCUCGCCGCCGCCGAGCCCCUCACCCUCCUCAAGCGCCCGCCGCCGCAGAACGACGGCUUCGGCGACGACAACGGCAGCACGGAGGAGAAGGCGCCCAAGGCGCGCCGCCGGGAGUCGGACCCGGCGGCGGCACUGGCCGCGGCGCGGCAUGAGUUCGGGGAGCACGGCGGCGUGAACAUGUCCAUCGAGGCCUCGGCCACGUUCACCGUGAUGGAGCCGGACACCAUGCGCCGGCUCUUCACGGGGGAGCUGGGCCCGGAGCGCGGCGACCUGUACAUCUACAGCCGCCACUUCAACCCGACGGUGCUGGCGCUGGGGCGGCAGAUGGCCGCGCUGGAGGGGACCGAGGCCGCCUACUGCACGGCGUCCGGCAUGUCGGCCAUCUCCUGCGUGCUGAUGCAGCUGGUGGGCGCCGGCGGGCACGUGGUGGCGUCGCGCUGCCUGUACGGCGGCACCCACGCGCUGCUGUCCCGGUUCCUGCCGCGCACCUCCGGCGUGCAGGCGACGUUCGUGGAUGCGGACGACGAGGCGGCCGUGCGCGCGGCCAUAAGGCCGGGGGAGACGCGGGUGGUGUACGUGGAGACGAUGUCGAACCCGACGCUGGCCGUGGCCGACAUCCCGAUGCUGGCGCGGGUGGCGCACGAGGCCGGGGCCAAGCUGGUGGUGGACAACACCUUCACCCCCGUCGUCGUCUCGCCCGCGCGGCUCGGCGCCGACAUCGUCGUCCACAGCGUGUCCAAGUUCAUCAGCGGCGGCGCCGACAUCAUCGCCGGUGCGAUCUGCGGGCCGGCGAGCCUGGUGAACUCCAUGAUGGACCUGCAGGACGGCGCGCUGAUGCUGCUGGGCCCGACGAUGAACGCCAAGGUGGCGUCCGAGCUGGCGGCGCGCCUCCCGCACCUGCCGCUGCGGAUGCAGGAGCACUCGCGGCGCGCCGCCGAGUUCGCGGCCCGGAUGCGGCGCCAGGGCCUGCGCGUCACCUACCCGGGCCUGCCCGACCACCCGCACCACGCCAGGCUGCGCGCCAUGGGCAACCCGGGCUACGGCGCCGGCGGCAUGCUGUGCCUCGACAUGGGCACCGAGGAGCGCGCCAACCGCCUCAUGUACCACCUGCAGAACACCACCCAGUUCGGCCUCAUGGCCGUCAGCCUCGGCUUCUACGACACCCUCAUGUCCUGCUCCGGCAACAGCACCAGCAGCGAGAUGGACCCGGAGGACCGCGCCCGCGCCGGCAUCUCCCCCGGCCUCAUCCGCAUGUCCGUCGGCUACAACGGCACCUUGGAGCAGCGCUGGGCGCAGUUCGAGCGCGCCCUCGCGCUCAUGCAGCAGCAGGACACCCCCGCCGCCGCCGGCAAGUACGGCAAGCCCGUCUGA
rnacentral:rRNA from 1 species